AUUGAACGCUGGCGGCAGGCCUAACACAUGCAAGUCGAACGAGUGGCGGACGGGUGAGUAAUGCCUGGGAAACUGCCUGAUGGAGGGGGAUAACUACUGGAAACGGUAGCUAAUACCGCAUACCAUCGGAUGUGCCAAGAUGGGAUUAGCUAGUAGGUGGGGUAAAGGCUCACCUAGGCGACGAUCCCUAGCUGGUCUGAGAGGAUGACCAGCCACACUGAAACUAAGACACGGUCCAGACUCCAACGGGAGGCAGCAGUGGAGAAUAUUGCACAAUGGGCGCAAGCCUGAUUCAGCCAUGCCGCGUGUAUGAAGAAGGCCUUCAGGUUUUAAAGUACUUUCAGCGGGGAGGUGUUACCCGCAGAAGAAGCACCGGCUAACUCCGUGCCAGCAGCCGCGGUAAUAC
rnacentral:rRNA from 1 species